rnacentral:rRNA from 1 species
UACAGAGGUCCCAAGCGUUGUUCGGAUUCACUGGGCGUAAAGGGUGCGUAGGUGGUUAGGUAAGUCCGAUGUGAAAUCUCCAGGCUCAACCUGGAAAUGGCAUUGGAUACUAUCUAGCUUGAGGAGUGGAGGGGGGGGACUGGAAUUCUCGGUGUAGCAGUGAAAUGCGUAGAUAUCGAGAGGAACACCAGUGGCGAAGGCGAGUCCCUGGACACUUCCUGACACUGAGGCACGAAAGCUAGGGGAGCAAACAGG